rnacentral:rRNA from 1 species
ACGCUCGACACCUACGGGAGGCAGCAGUAGGGAAUCUUCCACAAUGGACGCAAGUCUGAUGGAGCAACGCCGCGUGAGUGAAGAAGGUUUUCGGAUCGUAAAGCUCUGUUGUUGGUGAAGAAGGAUGAGGUAGUAACUGGCCUUUAUUUGACGGUAAUCAACCAGAAAGUCACGGCUAACUACGUGCCAACAGCCGCGGUAAUCUGAGCGGGCUGGCAAGGC